rnacentral:rRNA from 1 species
GAUCCUGGCUCAGGAUGAACGCUAGCUACAGGCUUAACACAUGCAAGUCGAGGGGAAACGACAUCGAAAGCUUGCUUUUGAUGGGCGUCGACCGGCGCACGGGUGAGUAACGCGUAUCCAACCUGCCCACCACUUGGGGAUAACCUUGCGAAAGUAAGACUAAUACCCAAUGACAUCCCACGAAGACAUCUGAAUGGGAUUAAAGAUUUAUCGGUGAUGGAUGGGGAGUGCGUCUGAUUAG